AGCUCAGGAAGCAGAGCCUGGGGUGUCCCCACCAUGGCCUGGGCUCCGCUCCUCCUCACCCUCCUCGCUCUCUGCACAGGGUCUUUGGCCAGCUUUGUCCUCACUCAGCCCAGCUCUGUGUCGGGGUCUCCAGGGCAGAAGGUCACCAUCUCCUGCACCCGCAGCAGUGGCAACAUUGGGAGUGAUUAUGUGCACUGGUACCAGCAGCGCCCAGGCAGUGCCCCCACCACUGUGAUCUACGAUGAUAGCCAAAGACCCUCUGGAGUCCCCCAUCGGUUCUCUGGCUCCAUCGACAGCUCCUCCAACUCUGCCUCCCUGACCAUCUCUGGGCUGCAGUCUGAGGACGAGGCCGAUUACUACUGCCAGUCUUAUGAUAGCAGCUACAGUCACACAGUGCUCCAGACCAUGGGGAAGUGAGACAAGAACUCCCAGAGCAUCCUUGCCCUGGCUCUGCCCUCAGCCUGUCUCCAGCGG